AUAGACUCGGCUCAUUAAUUUCUUCCAUGGAAAAUUUUUUCUAGCAAAAGAGUUGUGGAAAUCGAUCCAAACCUUAAAACCCUCCUCUCCUGGACGUAAAAAAGAGAGCAAAUCCAUCUCUGAGCUGAGGAAGAAAUAUGGGCACGUUCACACUAAAAAGGCAUGCAUGGAUGUUCAUGGAAAUCUGAUCUGAAAUAGCCUCAAACUGGAAAUAAUCUCGAAUGUCCCUAAACAGUGAAAUGUAUGGACUGUGGAAUAAUCUUACAAUGGAGUACUAUACAGCAAUGAAAAUCUGCCAUUUCCCACAUUAUUCCACAGGUUACUCUCCCAGAGUCUGGUCGUGGAGCAGAAAGAAAAUGACAUGGGUCACCUGGGUGGCUCAGUGGGUUUAAAGCCUCUGCCUUCGCUCAGGUCAUGAUCCCAGGGUCCUGGAAUCGAGCCCCACAUUCAGCUCUCUGCUCAGCAGGGAGCCUGCCUCCUCCUCUCUCCCUGCCUGCCACUCUGCCUACUUGUGAUGUCUGUCUGUCAAAUAAGUAAAUAAAAUCUUAAAACAACAACAAAAAAAAGAAAAUGACUUGAGCCUUUCUUGGAAGUCUUGAAAGGAAGUUCCCAAGGGAGUUUUAUUCAGGGAGGUAGCAUGGCAGAAUGGACUGACAUUGGACUCAGCCCUACCUGCCGCUUACUUGCCCCAAAGCCUGAGGCUGGCAUUUCCCUGAGCCUCACUCUCCUCUGAGAUAAUAAAAUCACCUUGCCGUGGGGGUUGCGAGCACUAGAAAGAACACGUUGUAAUCCAAAUGUCCAAACCUCAUGCCCCAAAUCACCAUAGCCUACACUCUGUCUCCUUUUAUGGCAGAAGUACUUACUAUCUUUUACCAGGCUCCUGUUUCCAGGGAGUCCUGAGAAACCCUUAAGAAGUAUUUACAUGUUCUACAGACCAAUUCUGGUAGCUGCUUGUCAUCGUCAUAGGGAUCCAAACUACUGCCCUCUCUUUCCACAGUCAUGUCCAUUUUCCUCUGUUCUCCCUGUGCCAUUUUGCCCAACCUGGGGAUUGAGAUUGAUCCUACCUCCAGUUCCAUACAGUGACUGUUAAGAUCAGGAAAGAAGUUUUGUUAAGACUUUGCUGAAGGCUUAGUGAUGUGAUAAGUAUAUUGCCAAAGUGGGAACUUAGAAGCCAAGUAUCACUGCUCUUGGGGUCUACACCAGGGUCCUCUCCUGGAUACUUCUCUGCCUGCCCUCAGCUCCACCCACCCCUCCC